GAGCUCGUAGGCGGUUUGUCACGUCGUCUGUGAAAACCCGAGGCUUAACCUCGGGCCUGCAGGCGAUACGGGCAGACUUGAGUACUGUAGGGGAGACUGGAAUUCCUGGUGUAGCGGUGGAAUGCGCAGAUAUCAGGAGGAACACCGGUGGCGAAGGCGGGUCUCUGGGCAGUAACUGACGCUGAGGAGCGAAAGCGUGGGUAGCGAACAGGAUUAGAUACCCUGGUAGUCCACGCCGUAAACGGUGGGUACUAGGUGUGGGUUUCCUUCCACGGGAUCCGUGCCGUAGCUAACGCAUUAAGUACCCCGCCUGGGGAGUACGGCCGCAAGGCUAAAACUCAAAGGAAUUGACGGGGGCCCGCACAAGCGGCGGAGCAUGUGGAUUAAUUCGAUGCAACGCGAAGAACCUUACCUGGGUUUGACAUAUAGAGGAUCGCCGGAGA
rnacentral:rRNA from 1 species